GUCGAGCGGUAGAGAGAAGCUUGCUUCUCUUGAGAGCGGCGGACGGGUGAKUAAUGCCUAGGAAUCUGCCUGGUAGUGGGGGAUAACGUUCGGAAACGGACGCUAAUACCGCAUACGUCCUACGGGAGAAAGCAGGGGACCUUCGGGCCUUGCGCUAUCAGAUGAGCCUAGGUCGGAUUAGCUAGUUGGUGAGGUAAUGGCUCACCAAGGCGACGAUCCGUAACUGGUCUGAGAGGAUGAUCAGUCACACUGGAACUGAGACACGGUCCAGACUCCUACGGGAGGCAGCAGUGGGGAAUAUUGGACAAUGGGCGAAAGCCUGAUCCAGCCAUGCCGCGUGUGUGAAGAAGGUCUUCGGAUUGUAAAGCACUUUAAGUUGGGAGGAAGGGUUGUAGAUUAAUACUCUGCAAUUUUGACGUUACCGACAGAAUAAGCACCGGCUAACUCUGUGCCAGCAGCCGCGGUAAUACAGAGGGUGCAAGCGUUAAUCGGAAUUACUGGGCGUAAAGCGCGCGUAGGUGGUUUGUUAAGUUGGAUGUGAAAUCCCCGGGCUCAACCUGGGAACUGCAUUCAAAACUGACUGACUAGAGUAUGGUAGAGGGUGGUGGA
rnacentral:rRNA from 1 species